ACCGUUAAUCGGUCCUUACCUUGCAAUUUUGUAUGG
rnacentral:misc_RNA from 1 species